rnacentral:rRNA from 1 species
UGGUCUGUCACUGACGNUGAGGCUCGAAAGCGUGGGUAGCGAACAGGAUUAGAUACCCUGGUAGUCCACGCCGUAAACGCUGAGUGCUAGGUGUUAGGUCCUUUCCGGGACUUAGUGCCGACGCUAACGCAUUAAGCACUCCGCCUGGGGAGUACGACCACAAGGUUGAAACUCAAAGGAAUUGACGGGGGCCCGCACAAGCGGUGGAGCAUGUGGUUUAAUUCGAAGCAACGCGAAGAACCUUACCAGGUCUUGACAUCCCGAUGCCCGCUCUAGAGAUAGAGUUUUACUUUUUGUACAUCGGAGACAGGUGGUGCAUGGUUGUCGUCAGCUCGUGUCGUGAGAUGUUGGGUUANNNNNNNNNNNNNNGCGCAACCCUUAUUGUUAGUUGCCAUCAUUAAGUUGGGCACUCUAGCGAGACUGCCGGUAAUAAACCGGAGGAAGGUGGGGAUGACGUCAAAUCAUCAUGCCCCUUAUGGCCUGGGCUACACACGUGCUACAAUGGUUGGUACAACGAGUCGCAAGCCGGUGACGGCAAGCUAAUCUCUGAAAGCCAAUCUCAGUUCGGAUUGUAGGCUGCAACUCGCCUACAUGAAGUCGGAAUCGCUAGUAAUCGCGGAUCAGCACGCCGCGGNGAAUACGUUCCCGGGCCU